rnacentral:tRNA from 1 species
GUCUAGGUGGCGGAACUGGUAGACGCACCAGCUUGAGGGGCUGGCGGGUAACACCGUGAGGGUUCGAUUCCCUCCCUAGACA